AGUCAACACAUAAACUCCAGACGUAAAGUAAAAGUAAACACAGCAGCUUUCCCUCAGUCCUUGGAGUGGAAGGCAAAAACUGCAACAGCUUUCUGUGGGAUCAUCCUGCUGAUUGUCUGUCUCUCAGAAUUACCAAUUAUUUCACUUUUUGUUAACCAGAACAAGGAUUUUUUUUGAACUGAUGUGACUGUCAGUCUGUGAAUAAAUAUCACUUCAGAGGAAGAGCAAGAAUGGACCCUGAAAAGACUCUCAAGCACUGAAUUAGAGGGAGGCUAGUGAAGCCAAACCGGGAGAUUUUAGGCUCUAAAAGUCCAGCAGCGCAGCAGAGCCUUGGCCCCACACCGCUCCCUGCAAUCCCGGGAGGGGGCAGGGGGUCUCUGUGUGUUGCCCCCGCCCCGAGCGCUGACUCCACAGUGCCCACUGUCUGGGAAUUGCAGCCAAUGGCAGCUUUGGAGGAGGUGCCUGAGGGGUCAGGGUGUGACCUUGGUUUUGCCGAGGUUUCAGAUCAGGGUGUGACAAUACAUACCACGUGUGCUUCAAAAGAUAAGGAUAACAGGGCAAGUUUAAGAAAUG